UACUUUCCGCCAGAGAACUACGAGUGAAAAACUUAAAACUCAAAGGACUUGACGGUGUCCCAUAUCGGCCUAGAGGAGCCUGUCCUAUAAUCGAUACCCCCCGUUCCACCCAACCCCAACUAGCAAAACAUCAGCCUAUAUACCGCCGUCGACAGUCUACCCUAUGAAGGUCCAAUAGUAGACACAAUAGCCCUAACGCUAAUACGUCAGGUCAAGGUGUAGCAAAUGCUGGGGAAGAGAUUGGCUACAUUUUUUAUGAUAAAAAACACGAAUUGUACCAUGAAAAAGUACAUGAAGGUGAAUUUAGUAGUAAAACAGACAAGAGUGUCUGUUUUAACAACGCUCUGG
rnacentral:rRNA from 1 species